GAUGAACGCUGGCGGCGUGCCUAAUACAUGCAAGUCGAGCGAACAGACGAGGAGCUUGCUCUUCUGACGUUAGCAGCGGACGGGUGAGUAACACGUGGAUAACCUACCUAUCAGACUGGGAUAACUUCGGGAAACCGGAGCUAAUACCGGAUAAUAUAUUUAACCGCAUGGUUUAAUAGUAAAAGACGGUUUUGCUGUCAACUAUAGACGGAUCCGCGCCGCAUUAGCUAGUUGGUUAGGUAACGGAUUACCAAGGAACCGAUGCGUAGCCGACCUGAGAGGGUGAUCGCCCACACGAGAACUGAGACGCGGUCCAGACUCCUACGGGAGGCAGCAGUAGGGAAUCUUCCGCAAAGGGCGAAAGCCUGACGGAGCAACGCCGCGUGAGUGAUGAAGGUCUUCGGAUCGUAAAACUCUGUUAUGAGUGAAGAACAAAUGUGUAAGUAACUAUGCACGUCUUGACGGUACCUAAUCAGAAAGCCACGGCUAACUACGUG
rnacentral:rRNA from 1 species